UGCGCAGGCGGAAGAUUAAGUCAGUGGUGAAAUCCUACAGCUCAACUGUAGAACUGUCAUUGAUACUGAUUUUCUUGAAUAUAGUUGAGGUAGGCGGAAUGUGUAAUGUAGCGGUGAAAUGCUUAGAUAUUACACAGAACACCGAUUGCGAAGGCAGCUUACUAAGCUAUUAUUGACGCUGAGGCACGAAAGCGUGGGGAGCGAACAGGAUUAGAUACCCUGGUAGUCC
rnacentral:rRNA from 1 species